UACGAAGGGGGCUAGCGUUGCUCGGAAUCACUGGGCGUAAAGAGCGUGUAGGCGGCCAUGUAGGUCCGUUGUGAAAACUCGAGGCUCAACCUCGAGACGCCGAUGGAAACCAUGUGGCUAGAGUCCGGAAGAGGAGAGUGGAAUUCCUGGUGUAGCGGUGAAAUGCGCAGAUAUCAGGAAGAACACCCGUGGCUAAGGCGGCUCUCUAGUACGGUACUGACGCUGAGACGCGAAAGCGUGGGGAGCGAACAGG
rnacentral:rRNA from 1 species